rnacentral:misc_RNA from 1 species
GAAAUGCGAUAAGUAAUGUGAAUUGCAGAAUUCAGUGAAUCAUCGAAUCUUUGAACGCACAUUGCGCCCGCCAGUAUUCUGGCGGGCAUGCCUGUUCGAGCGUCAUUACAACCCUCAGGCCCCCGGGCCUGGCGUUGGGGAUCGGCGGAAGCCCCCUGCGGGCACAACGCCGUCCCCCAAAUACAGUGGCGGUCCCGCCGCAGCUUCCAUUGCGUAUUAGCUAACACCUCGCAACUGGAGAGCGGCGCGGCCACGCCGUAAAACACCCAACUUCUGAAUGUUGACCUCGAAUCAGGUAGGAAUACCCGCUGAACUUAAGC